AACGAACGCUGGCGGCAGGCCUAACACAUGCAAGUCGAGCGAGGACUUCGGUCCUAGCGGCGGACGGGUGAGUAACGCGUGGGAACGUGCCCUUUGCUACGGAAUAGCCCCGGAAACUGGGAGUAAUACCGUAUGUGCCCUUCGGGGGAAAGAUUUAUCGGCAAAGGAUCGGCCCGCGUUGGAUUAGGUAGGUGGUGGGGUAAUGGCCUACCAAGCCGACGAUCCAUAGCUGGUUUGAGAGGAUGAUCCGCCACACUGGGACUGAGACACGGCCCAGACUCCUACGGGAGGCAGCAGUGGGGAAUCUUAGACAAUGGGGGAAACCCUGAUCUAGCCAUGCCGCGUGAGCGAUGAAGGCCUUAGGGUUGUGAAGCUCUUUCAGUGGGGAAGAUAAUGACGGUACCCACAGAAGAAGCCCCGGCUAACUCCGUGCCAGCCGCCGCCGUAACAC
rnacentral:rRNA from 1 species